GAGUUUGAUCCUGGCUCAGGACGAACGCUGGCGGUGCGCCUUAUGCAUGCAAGUUGAGCGAACGUUUUUGGUAGUUUACUACUAGAAAUGACUGAGCGGCGAACGGGUGAGUAACGCGUGAGCAAUCUACCUUAGUUACUGGGAUAGCCCGAGGAAACUCGGAUUAAUACCGGAUAUUCUUAUUUUUUCACAUGAAGUUUUAAGGAAAGGUCAGCCGAACUAAGAUGAGCUCGCGUUCUAUCAGCUAGUUGGUGGGGUAACAGCCUACCAAGGCUACGACGGAUAGCUGGUCUGAGAGGACGAUCAGCCACACUGGGACUGAGACACGGCCCAGACUCCUACGGGAGGCUGCAGCAGGGAAUAUUGUGCAAUGAGCGAAAGCUUGACACAGCGACACCGCGUGUGGGAUGACGGUUCUAGGAUUGUAAACCACUUUCAGGAGGGAAGAAAAUGACGGUACCUCCACAAGAAGACCCGGCCAACUAUGUGCCAGCAGCCGCGGUAAUACAUAGGGGUCAAGCGUUGUCCGGAUUUAUUGGGCGUAAAGAGCUCGUAGGCGGUUCAACAAGUCGGUCGUAAAAGUUUAGGGCUCAACCCUAAAAUGUCGAUUCGAUACUGUUGUGACUAGGAUACGGUAGAGGUGAAUGGAAUUCCGAGUGUAGCGGUGAAAUGCGUAGAUAUUCGGAGGAACCCCAAUUGCGAAGGCAGUUCACUGGACCGUGAUCGACGCUGAGGAGCGAAACUAAGGGGAGCAAACAGGAUUAGAUACCCUGGGUAGUCCUAGCUGUAAACGAUGGAUACUAGAUGUAGGAACUGGAUUGACGGUUUCUGUAUCGUAGCUAACGCGUUAAGUAUCCCGCCUGGGGGAGUACGGUCGCAG
rnacentral:rRNA from 1 species